rnacentral:rRNA from 1 species
GACGAACGCUGGCGGCGUGCUUAACACAUGCAAGUCGAACGGAAAGGCCCUGCUUUUGUGGGGUGCUCGUGUGGCGAACGGGUGAGUAACACGUGAGUAACCUGCCCUUGACUUUGGGAUAACUUCAGGAAACUGGGGCUAAUACCGGAUAGGAGCUCCUGCUGCAUGGUGGGGGUUGGAAAGUUUCGGCGGUUGGGGAUGGACUCGCGGCUUAUCAGCUUGUUGGUGGGGUAGUGGCUUACCAAGGCUUUGACGGGUAGCCGGCCUGAGAGGGUGACCGGCCACAUUGGGACUGAGAUACGGCCCAGACUCCUACGGGAGGCAGCAGUGGGGAAUAUUGCACAAUGGGCGGAAGCCUGAUGCAGCAACGCCGCGUGCGGGAUGACGGCCUUCGGGUUGUAAACCGCUUUCGCCUGUGACGAAGCGUGAGUGACGGUAAUGGGUAAAGAAGCACCGGCUAACUACGUGCCAGCAGCCGCGGUGAUACGUAGGGUGCGAGCGUUGUCCGGAUUUAUUGGGCGUAAAGGGCUCGUAGGUGGUUGAUCGCGUCGGAAGUGUAAUCUUGGGGCUUAACCCUGAGCGUGCCUUCGAUACGGGUUGACUUGAGGAAGGUAGGGGAGAAUGGAAUUCCUGGUGGAGCGGUGGAAUGCGCAGAUAUCAGGAGGAAUACCAGUGGCGAAGGCGGUUCUCUGGGCCUUUCCUGACGCUGAGGAGCGAAAGCGUGGGGAGCGAACAGGCUUAGAUACCCUGGUAGUCCACGCUGUAAACGGUGGGUACUAGGUGUGGGGUCCAUUCCACGGGUUCCGUGCCGUAGCUAACGCUUUAAGUACCCCGCCUGGGGAGUACGGCCGCAAGGCUAAAACUCAAAGGAAUUGACGGGGCCCCGCACAAGCGGCGGAGCAUGCGGAUUAAUUCGAUGCAACGCGUAGAACCUUACCUGGGUUUGACAUGGAUCGGGAGCGCUCAGAGAUGGGUGUGCCUCUUUUGGGGUCGGUUCACAGGUGGUGCAUGGCUGUCGUCAGCUCGUGUCGUGAGAUGUUGGGUUAAGUCCCGCAACGAGCGCAACCCUUGUUCACUGUUGCCAGCACGUUAUGGUGGGGACUCAGUGGAGACCGCCGGGGUCAACUCGGAGGAAGGUGGGGAUGACGUCAAGUCAUCAUGCCCCUUAUGUCCAGGGCUUCACGCAUGCUACAAUGGCUGGUACAGAGAGUGGCGAGCCUGUGAGGGUGAGCGAAUCUCGGAAAGCCGGUCUCAGUUCGGAUUGGGGUCUGCAACUCGACCUCAUGAAGUCGGAGUCGCUAGUAAUCGCAGAUCAGCAACGCUGCGGUGAAUACGUUCCCGGG